rnacentral:lncRNA from 12 species
UGUAAACACACCUUCCCCGAGGUGCCCGACUCUCUAGGUCACCCGGCCCGAGUGAGGACCAGAAGGGAGGCCGCUCGGGUCCACGGGGACGGACACCUGCUGCGUGCAGAGCAUGUUGGAGGACCCGAGGAAGCCCAGACAUGGUGUGUGUGCCCAGGUGCGCCUGCGAGUGCACGAGCCUGGCCGUGUCACCAGCGGUCGGGGAGCCAGCGGAGAUCACAGAAGGCCCGACAGGGCGGUCCUGGCUGGGGGUGGAGAGAGGCACUGAGGCAGGACUUUGAAAUAGCCCGUGCAUGUGUUAUUCUCAGUCAAGAUUCCAGAAAGUUUACUUGGAAUUUGAACCAUGACUCUAAGCUUCUUGGGAAGGAUAAAUACCCGCAGCAGUCACGACCACGCGCGUCUCUCCCGCCUUCCCCCUCGGUCCUGAGGUCACAGCCGGCCAGGGGGUGGGCCCCCGCCCCGGCCCNNNNNNNNNNGGGGGGGGGGCCAGGUCCACACGGGGUUCACUGCUGGGGCCUCAGGACGUUCGCCGACCCUCCCGGGGCCGAGGGAGGAGUGGUGUGGACACGACACCCCCGGGGACGCAGGAGCCCUGCUCAGGGUGGCAGAGAGCCCCUUGAAGCUACUCACACAUCUGUCGGACCCAUCAGCACGUGUGUCUCAAGGGAGAAAACAACACAGAAACAAGGGAGGUUGUGCGUCCCCACGUGGCCGCUGUGCCAACUCACACCCUCGUGGUCCCCGCGGCCCCAGGGUCCCCCCGGCUCUGCAAGGAAGGACCCCAGCAGGGCCACUGCUUGGGACUGGCUCCCCGGCCCAGUGGGUGAGGGGCAGAGCCCCGUGGACAGUGAUGCACCGGAGGCCCCAUCGGGCUGCCGUCACCUGCCCAUUGCCCAGGGACCCCCUGGCUGGCCUUGGGCUCCCAGGAGGAGGGGCUCUGCGCUCCCUGGCUUCCUGCCAACCCUGUGCCAAUGACCCAGCGUGGCCCCCCAGAGCUGCCGCAGUAGCUCCAGAAGCUCCCUCCUCCGUGAUUCUAUUCCACUGGGGUACGCCCGGCCCCACAGCUUUGAGGAGCCCCUGGGGUGAUUCCACGGCGCUGCCUUGCCCCAGAGCUGUGUGCAGGGGACCGGCUGGAAGGUCCUGCGGGACCCCCUGUGCCCU